rnacentral:snRNA from 1 species
UGGUUUCUCUUCAGAUCAUAUAAAUCUUUUGCCUUUUACUAAAGAUUUCCAUGGAGAGGGGGAAAGAA